rnacentral:rRNA from 1 species
GAUGAACGCUGGCGGCGUGCUUAACACAUGCAAGUCGAACGAACCUUCGGGUUAGUGGCGGACGGGUGAGUAACGCGUGAGAAUUUGCCCUCAGGAGGGGGAUAACGGCUGGAAACGGCCGCUAAUACCCCAUAUGCCGAGAGGUGAAACGAAUUUUGCCUGAGGAUGAGCUCGCGUUUGAUUAGCUAGUUGGUGGGGUAAGAGCCUACCAAGGCUUCGAUCAGUAGCUGGUUUGAGAGGAUGAUCAGCCACCCUGGGACUGAGACCCGGCCCCGACUCCUACGGGAGGCAGCAGUGGGGAAUUUUUCGCAAUGGGCGAAAGCCUGAGGGAGCAACGCCGCGUGAGGGAUGAAGGCCUUUGGGCUGUAAACCUCUUUUAUCAAGGAAGAAGAUUUGCCCUUAAAGGGUGAAUAAGCCCCGGCUAAUUCCGUGCCAGCAGCCU